UACAGAGGUCUCAAGCGUUGUUCGGAUUCAUUGGGCGUAAAGGGUGCGUAGGCGGCGCGGUAAGUCGGGUGUGAAAUCUCGGGGCUUAACUCCGAAACUGCAUUCGAUACUGCCGUGCUUGAGGACUGGAGAGGAGACUGGAAUUUACGGUGUAGCGGUGAAAUGCGUAGAUAUCGUAAGGAAGACCAGUGGCGAAGGCGGGUCUCUGGACAGCUCCUGACGCUGAGGCGCGAAAGCGUGGGGAGCAAACGGG
rnacentral:rRNA from 1 species